rnacentral:rRNA from 1 species
UUCCUACGGGGGGCAGCAGUGAGGAAUAUUGGUCAAUGGGCGGGAGCCUGAACCAGCCAAGUCGCGUGAGGGAAGACGGUCCUAUGGAUUGUAAACCUCUUUAGGCGGGGAGCAAUGCCGGGCACGCGUGUCCGGAGGGAGAGUACCCGCAGAAUAAGCAUCGGCUAACUCCGUGCCAGCAGCCGCGGUAAUACGGAGGAUGCGAGCGUUAUCCGGAUUUAUUGGGUUUAAAGGGUGCGUAGGCGGGCAUUUAAGCCGGCGGUCAAAUGGCGGGGCUCAACCCCGGCCUGCCGU